rnacentral:rRNA from 1 species
AUAGGGCGGUACCUUGACGGUACCUAACCAGAAAGCCACGGCUAACUACGUGCCAGCAGCCGCGGUAAUACGUAGGUGGCAAGCGUUGUCCGGAAUUAUUGGGCGUAAAGGGCUCGCAGGCGGUUUCUUAAGUCUGAUGUGAAAGCCCCCGGCUCAACCGGGGAGGGUCAUUGGAAACUGGGGAACUUGAAUGCAGAAGAGGAGAGUGGAAUUCCACGUGUAGCGGUGAAAUGCGUAAAGAUGUGGAGGAACACCAGUGGCGAAGGCGACUCUCUGG